UGCGGGGGGGGCAAGCGUUGUUCGGAAUUACUGGGCGUAAAGGGCUCGUAGGCGGCCAACUAAGUCGGAUGUGAAAUCCCCAGGCUUAACCUGGGAACUGCAUCCGAUACUGGAUGGCUUGAAUCCGGGAGAGGGAUGCAGAAUUCCAGGUGUAGCGGUGAAAUGCGUAGAUAUCUGGAGGAAUACCGGUGGCGAAGGCGGCAUCCUGGACCGGCAUUGACGCUGAUGAGCGAAAGCUAGGGGAGCAAACGGG
rnacentral:rRNA from 1 species